GCUUCUUCCUCGGAGGGACUCAAUCCCAGCACCAUAAACAGGUUGACUAUGGUGCUAAUGCAGGAAACCAGCAGCUACCUUGUAUCCUCAGGACCAGACUCCUUGCCUUGAUGAACUGCUAAAAUGAAACCAGCUAGCCCAGAGUGGCGGCCCAAGCAUGCUGUCUCAGACUGUCUCUUAGGAUGGGACCAGCCAAUGGGUUCAUCAGAAUAUGAAUGGACAAAGGAAAUAUGGUGCAGAAACACUAUGAAGUUUAGUUUCUAUAAUAAAUAAAUAUGAAACCA